UGUUUUGGUACUUACGGUUUAUUGGAUUCGUGUCGGCAGCACGAGGAAAAUCUCAUCACAUUCAUGAUCCGAUGAAAGAGGUUAGGAGGAGAUAGUUCCUCCAGGCACAAAGGCUUUUCAUGUCAUGGCUACUUCCCACACUAAAGUAUGAGCCAAUCAAAGCAGUGGAACCAGUACGAGGCCCCAAUACCUCUCACGGACACGAAGCUCUGCCUCAUCAUGCAGGACCCUUAGGUGUGUCGGAAAAAUAAGAAAAAGAGGCGUAGGAAAACGUAUAACACACCCGUGUCUUUACUCUCUCUGACAUGAGAUGUCACUAGAACAUUUGUUCCUGGUGACAGCUUAGAGUCAACAUCGAGAGAGACAGAGGAUUGGAGGAAAUGACGGCUGCUCGGGUCUUGCUGGUGGAGAAAUUGGAGCAGCACAGCUCUUGCGAGGAGGAAAGGAACAUGUGAUGAUGUUCAACUAGGCUCCUGGAAGAGAGAGGGGAUACAAUCAAGAAGAAAGAAAUCAUACCUUCUUCUGAAACGGAAGCCUCUGCUGGUUGCGGUUAGGGCAAGCUGAACAUGCCUUAUAUGAUGCUAACGUCUGCAGAGAACUAAAACCUGAUUGGUCUAAAAGAUGUUGUUUCCGUGAAGGUGUUGCUCUUUGUUUCCUACAGAGAUUUGUUGAGGCAGCCAAUGCCUUUUUACGAAGGAGUAAAGCAAAGAGAUCAGUGAUGAGUUCAGAGAAGUUGUAGAUGCUCAAAAGGAAGUUUCCCGGCAAGGAAAAGAUUAAGGCCAAACCAUAAGAUCUUCUAGAGAAGACUCUUUUUAGUAUAUGUAUGAAGUUUUGAUAUUGCUUCUUACCUUAGUCUCUCUCAUGACAUUGUUGCCUAUCUUUACUUACACGUACUAAAAACUUCAGGCAUAAAGUUUUGUUUGUGCUCUGAUUUUGUCAUUGUGUUUGGAUUUACAAAUUUGAUUUUUAAAAAUUGUAAACAAUGAUUUUA